AUUCUGACCCAAGCAGAUAUCACGACGCAGAUACUGGGAUCCGUGUUUGUAGAUACAGGAGUUGAGGCCAAGAGAGCGCGUGUUCCAGGACCCAGUUUCCACUACAGCGGGGACCCAGGAAGCCCUGGUUUUUAGAUUUGGACAUCGGUGGUCUUUCAUUCUUUUGCAAGGCCUCUCUAGACAGAAUUCUAGAGUUUCUUCUGGUUUCUGUGAGUGCGGCUUGGAACGAGGCGUUUCUAGGGUAGUCGCUUCUUCUGUUGCCGGGCACCCUUUGUUGGCACUCUAAUGCCAACUGUCUUUGUCACCGGCGGGAAGCUCGUGUAGGGGCACCCGAGUCACAGGUGGAAGACGAGAUCAGGUCCGGGCACGGCUGGAGAUCACUGAUCCCACCUUGGGGUGGAAGAGUCUGGAUUCCCAUGACGAGUGUCCGAGUUGGCAGAAGAACCAACGAGGGAAAGAGAGAGAAUCUCAAGUAGGCUCCUUCACAUGGAGCCCAACGCGGGGCUCGAUCCCACGAUCCUGGGAUCAUGACCUGGGCCGAAAUCACGAGACGGACGCUCAAGCCACCGAGCCACCCGGAUGCCCCCAAGAAAGGCCCUUAAAGGUCAUUUUAGCCUAAGUCAAGAAAUGAUAACUAUUAAGUGAUCAAGGCAUUUGGGAAUGCCAAGUGUCAGAACCCUGAAGAAGGAAACAAUAGUCGUGUUUUCUCACAGUGGCAGCUUAGGGACCCCGAGGUCUUUUUCCAAACAAGGUUGAGCGUAAAUGAUGAGGGAUGUGUUGAAUUGGCGAACAGCUGGGUGUAGUGGAAAAAAUUUCGCCUUGGAAGGUAGAAGGCCAGAAUUCAAAGAACAUGUAGUUGGGAAAAAUCCCUUCAUGGUAGGACCCCAGUUAGCUUGAUGCCUGCCCUGUGUGUGUGUGUGCUGAGUUGAAACCACGGUCUGGGGACGCCCGGGUGGUUCAGUCGGUUAAGUGUCCAACUCCUGAUUUCUGGCUCAGGUCAUGAUCUCAUGGUUCGUGAGUCCAAGCCCCUUGUCAGGCUCCAAGUGGACCGGGCUGAACCUGCUUGGGAUUCUCUGUCUUUCUCUCUGUCCCUCCCCUUCUUGAGCUCUCUCUCUUUCUCUCUCAAAAUAUGAAAGAAAGAAAAGAAAGAAGAAAGAACGAAAGAAGAAAGAAGAAAGGAGAAAGAAAGAAAGGAGAAAGAAAGAAGAAAGAAAGAACGAAAGAAAGAAGAAAGAAAGAAGAAGAAAGAAAGGAGAAAGAAGAAAGAAGAAGAAGAAAGAAGAAA
rnacentral:lncRNA from 1 species